rnacentral:rRNA from 1 species
AUUGAACGCUGGCGGCAGGCCUAAUACAUGCAAGUCGAACGAGUGGCGGACGGGUGAGUAAUGUCUGUGACAUUGCCCGAUGGAGGGGGAUAACUACUGGAAACGGUAGUUAAUACCGCAUACCAUCGGAUGUGCCCAGAUGGGAUUAGCUAGUAGGUGGGGUAACGGCUCACCUAGGCCACGAUGCCUAGCUGGUCUGAGAGGGUGACCGGCCACACUGGAACUGAGACACGGUCCAGACUCCUACGGGAGGCAGCAGUGGGGAAUAUUGGCCAAUGGGCGAAAGCCUGAUGCAGCAAUGCCGCGUGUAUGAAGAAGGCCUUCGGGUUGUAAAGUACUUUGAGCGAGGAGGCGGUACUCGCCGAAGAAGGGCCGGCUAACUCCGUGCCAGCAGCCGCGGUAAUAC